CCUACGGGGUGCAGCAGUGAGGAAUAUUGGUCAAUGGGCGCAAGCCUGACCCAGCAACGCCGCGUGAAGGAAGAAGGCUCUCGGGUUGUAAACUUCUUUUAUCAGGGACGAAGCAAGUGACGGUACCUGAUGAAUAAGCCACGGCUAACUACGUGCCAGCAGCCGCGGUAAUACGUAGGGGGCAAGCGUUAUCCGGAUUUACUGGGUGUAAAGGGCGUGGAGGCGGGAAAGCAAGUCAGAUGUGAAAACCAUGGGCUCAACCUGUGGCCUGCAUUUGAAACUGUUUUUCUUGAGUACUGGAGAGGCAGACGGAAUUCCUAGUGUAGCGGUGAAAUGCGUAGAUAUUAGGAGGAACACCAGUGGCGAAGGCGGUCUGCUGGACAGCAACUGACGCUGAGGCGCGAAAGCGUGGGGAGCAAACAGGAUUAGAUACCCUAGUAGUC
rnacentral:rRNA from 1 species